rnacentral:lncRNA from 1 species
GAGGCAACGGCAAAGCCGCCACGCCAAUCUCACAUAGGCGAACACGCUGCAAUAAAGCUAUCCGACGGAACCGCCGUCAUGACAGUGUACUUGGCCCCGAAUCUCUCCCGAGGCAAUGUGGAAAAGUACAUCGAUCUAGCCAUGCGCGAAU